rnacentral:rRNA from 1 species
GACGAACGCUGGCGGCGUGCUUAACGCAUGCAAGUCGAACGCUGAAGCUUGGUGCUUGCACUGGGUGGAUGAGUGGCGAACGGGUGAGUAAUACGUGAGUAACCUGCCCUUGACUCUGGGAUAAGCCUGGGAAACUGGGUCUAAUACUGGAUACGACAUGUCACCGCAUGGUGGUGUGUGGAAAGGGUUUUACUGGUUUUGGAUGGGCUCACGGCCUAUCAGCUUGUUGGUGGGGUAAUGGCUCACCAAGGCGACGACGGGUAGCCGGCCUGAGAGGGUGACCGGCCACACUGGGACUGAGACACGGCCCAGACUCCUACGGGAGGCAGCAGUGGGGAAUAUUGCACAAUGGGCGGAAGCCUGAUGCAGCGACGCCGCGUGAGGGGUGACGGCCUUCGGGUUGUAAACCUCUUUCAGCACGGAAGAAGCGAAAGUGACGGUACGUGCAGAAGAAGCGCCGGCUAACUACGUG